GAUAGCUGGUUCUCCCCGAAAGCUAUUUAGGUAGCGCCUCGUGAAUUCAUCUCCGGGGGUAGAGCACUGUUUCGGCAAGGGGGUCAUCCCGACUUACCAACCCGAUGCAAACUGCGAAUACCGGAGAAUGUUAUCACGGGAGACACACGGCGGGUGCUAACGUCCGUCGUGAAGAGGGAAACAACCCAGACCGCCAGCUAAGGUCCCAAAGUCAUGGUUAAGUGGGAAACGAUGUGGGAAGGCCCAGACAGCCAGGAUGUUGGCUUAGAAGCAGCCAUCAUUUAAAGAAAGCGUAAUAGCUCACUGGUCGAGUCGGCCUGCGCGGAAGAUGUAACGGGGCUAAACCAUGCACCGAAGCUGCGGCAGCGACACUGUGUGUUGUUGGGUAGGGGAGCGU
rnacentral:rRNA from 1 species